rnacentral:rRNA from 1 species
GUGGAUUAGAUACCCUGGUAGUCCACGCCCUAAACGAUGUCUACUAGUUGUCGGGGAUUAAUUUCCUUGGUAACGCAGCUAACGCGGGAAGUAGACCGCCUGGGGAGUACGGUCGCAAGAUUAAAACUCAAAGGAAUUGACGGGGACCCGCACAAGCGGUGGAUGAUGUGGAUUAAUUCGAUGCAACGCGAAAAACCUUACCUACGCUUGACAUGCCAGGAACCCUGCUGAAAGGUGGGGGUGCUCGAAAGAGAGCCUGGACACAGGUGCUGCACGGUUGUCGACAGCU